CUCGGCCACUCGCUCACGGCCAUGCGAAGGCCUCUUAAGGAAUGAUUGCGCUGCGCCCUUCCUUCCAUCCGCCGCCGACGUCGCCGAUUUGUCUGAUUAGGGUUUUGCUCGAAAAGAUUUUACCUUUGGUCUACUAGGUAUUACCACUACACAUCGAUUUUGCUUUCUUUGAAGAAGAGGGACGUCAAUCUUUCGUCGAGGAAGUGGGGGUGCAAAAGAUACUUCCUUUGAUGACAAGAACUAGGGUUUUCGUGGAUCGGAACUCUUGGAAAGAUGCAUGAAGAUGGAAUAAAAAAGGGUUCUUUUGGGGAUAUGUCCCUCUCGCGGAGAUAUCUUGAAGCUUGAUUUUGAUUUUUUUGUUGCAAGAAAGGAAUCUGGAAAGAAGAAAGUUUAGCUUUUAUCACGUCUUGUUACUCCAAUUCUAUAUAUACCAUUCUCGUUUCUCCUUGGAAUAUGGUAUUGUGAUUCAUAUAAGUUGCUUUCUGUUGUAUGGAAGAUGAAUUAACCAUAGUAGUGCUUAGCAGAAGCAGUUUCCAUGGACCCAAAAGAAAAAUCGAAGAUAUCGCUGAAGUUGAGGAAGAUAAUGCGUAGAAAUGGAAGAGGGUUCUAUUAAAUGAGUGUGAUGUAAAUGGUCUUGACUGUUGAUCAAGCUGAUGUAUGAUCAUAAAAUAAAGGAUGGAAUGAAUUUGACCAUCCUGAAUCUUAUCAUCGUUAUGUUGGAAGGGGAAUUGGAAUCAGAACAUCCAGAUGAUAGCUUGUAUUGAUCCAGGGAAAGUGGGGUUUUUCGUGUGCGGAGAGAACUAUAAUGAUGAUUCUGACAGGAACCUCUAGAAAAACCCAGGAAAUAUCCUAUAAUUGUGAGCUUGCAAUAGCAUUUAUCUUCCUAGAGCAGGAACCCACAGGGAGAAGUAACAAGUUUAAUUGGAAAAGUAAGGCCAAAUGCAAGUAUAGGUGCUGGAUCAUUGACCCACAAAAUAAGCUGGAAUAUGUUGCUGCAAAAAUAGCACUCAAGAAGGAAUAAUGACCAGCAUGGAACCCUCCGUUUGUAGUUCGACUGGCAGCUACAAAGGGAAGGCAAUCAGUUCUUAAAAGUAAUGAGCUAAAGUUCUUGGCUUUGAGAUUUUUUGAGCUGGAAGAACUCUAGGAGGGCCAAACACACUUAAUAGUAGAUAGUGCUUUGAUGAUAUUUUCCAGUGGGCAGCCAUCACCUAUAGGCAGUUGAGAAAGGGAACCAUUGGUGAAGAGAAACUGAACGAGGAGAUUUUUGAUGCCUGUAGAUCAAAUUUCAUCGAGUCUGCAAUCCUCAUCUAUUAUCAGAGAGGUGAAGAAGGAAGAAAAUCUGAGCUGUUGUUCAACUGUGGAACACCAACAACAUGCAAUCAAUGAUGUUGCUUUGUAUAUAUCCAAAGUGGAGUGUAAGAAGAAGAAGAAAGAAAGUGGUGGUGGUAGUGGUGGUGGCCGCGGCGCCGCCGCCGUAGAAGUCGAGGAGGACGGUGCUGCUGCACUUGGGGCACCUGAGGUCGGCGGCGGAGAGCAUGACGUACAUGAGGCAGCGCGGGCAGCCGGCGAGCAC